rnacentral:lncRNA from 1 species
AAAUAUACAUGGAGAUCGCAAGAAUUAAAGAUGCAGUCGAGGGAGGAGGCCGAGAUCUGGAGGCUAGGGCUGGGCGACGCCGUAGUUUGAAACUCGGACGGCGGCGGCUGGAUACGGGCUGAGCAGAGGGAGGCAGCGGCUCAUUUAUCGUCGUCGAGGAGAGAGGCGACACCGCGUUGAGCGUCGUCUAGAUAUGAGGCCGGAGUUGGUAGUUUAGGGAUCUAAGGGUUUUGGACCGCGGCUUUACCGUGAUUCGGUUGCAGGUUUUUCUCCGGCAGAGGGAGAGAGAAGACAAUAGAGAGUACGCUUGAGCUUCUCGCAGGCGGCGGCGGCGGCGAAAAGUGGAAGAAAGUCGGCAGAGGGAGAGAGAAGACAAGGGAGAGCACGUAUGAGCUUCUCACCGGCAGCGGCGAAAGGUGGAAGAAAGUGGAAGGUUUAGACUGGGAGAAGAAAUGAGCGAGAAGAAGCGGCGCUGAACCCUAAAAUUAGAUGAGCUGAGUAUUUAAGCUGUAUUUUAGGGCUGAAAAGUGUAGAUGGACUGUAUUUAAUUUAUUGGGCUGUAUUAGUAAAUACGGUAAAUCUGAAAACAUCUUUCAUCUCCGAUUUUUUGACGCUUCCACUUUUCCCACAAAACCUUUGGAAUGGUAGUGAAAUGGGGUUUCGUCGGCCCAAUUCUUUGAAAUCAGUUUUGAGUUAAUUUGUAGAAAGCAGGAUGACUACGUUAAUUAAUUUUACAAUAAAUGGUUUGCUUAUUUUAUUGCAAUAUAUAUUCAACUUCAUGAUAUAAUAUACUUAUUUCUUGUAUCUAAAAAUUACAAUAAAUAAACUAUGAUGCAUACAAUUAAAAAUAAAUAUCUAUAUAUAAUAUAUUAUUUACGAGUUAAAUGACCGGUUCCAAAAUUACAAGUUAUAUGACAUAAAAUAUUACUUGAUAAUGUUUUGUUCAUUAUAUUUGAUUGAAAAUUUCCUAUAUUUAAUGUAAAAAUUUUCGAAUAAGCUUAACAAAAUUAUGAACAUCUAAAUAAAAUAUUUGAAUUUAUUAAUAUCUGAUUGAGAAUUGUAAAAAUACUUAACAUACAACAUUUCGAACAAGCGUGCAAAAUGUUACGAAUAUCUAAAUAAAAUGUUUGAAUUUUACUUGCUUACAUUAAAUAUUUAACAUAAAAUAUUUUCAACAAACGCAAAAAAAAAUACCGAACAUCUAAAUAAAAUUUUUGAUUUUUUUUCUCACAAAAAAUAUUAAAUAUAGAACUUUUUGAAUAAGCGUAACAAAAUUAGGAACAUCUAAACAAAAUAUUCGAAUUUUUCUUAUUGACAUAAAAUAUUUUAAAUAAGCGUAAAAAAGAGAACAAUUUUUCUAAAUUCUACAAAAUUUGAUACUUAAAUAAUAUAUUUUACUUACAAUAAAUGAAAUAAAUAACAAGGCUUAUUAAAAUCAUAAAAAAUAAAAACAUAUAAAACGAAGAACAUUAAUGUUUCAGAAAACUACAUAUUUCAAUAACAAAAACAUAAUUAUGAAUAGAAAAAAGCAUAAUAAAAAAAUACAAUAAAAAUGUUAAAACUAUAUAAAAAUAAUAAUUACCUUUAUCCAUCUUCACAUAUACCAACGAUUGCAGAGUAAUUAAAGAAUUAAUUUUCUGUCAUUCUAAGAAACGUACAUACAAAAAACAAAUCGAGAUAUAAUACUUAAACAAGGUAUAACAAAGAUAUGAUUAAAACUAUCCAAAAUUAAAAAAGAUUCGGUCAAACCCAAACACUAAUAAACGGUUACAUAAAAAGAUGAUUUACCUAAUUAACCUUUUCGAAAUUAUAGUAAUUAAAAAUCAAAUUAUGUAUGAACCGUAGGAUUAUUAAGAUCUAAGGGUUAGAAUUUAUUCUCUAUUCUAAAAAAAGAUGUCAUUCUCCAUGAAUCUUCUCCCUAUAUAUAUAAUUUCAAUAACUACAAAAUACUAUCAAAAAUUAAGAAGAAAAAAAAUACUCUUUCGUUCGAUUUGUAAUGAGUUAUUCCAGAUUGUCCAAGACCGACAGCUUAAUUAUUUUUUAAUAAUACUCCAUCCGUCCCACGAAUCUUGACACGUAUUCCUUUUUAAGCCGUCCCACGAAUCUUGACACAUUUCUAAAUAAGCUAAUAAUUAUUAUCUUCUCUCUCCUAUUUUAUCACUUUUAUUAUCUUCUCUCUCUUACUUUAUCACUUUUAUAUUUUAUUAUAACUACACAUUUAAAACACUAAUCAACAACUUUUUAAUUUCCGUGCCGAAACCAAACGUGUCAAGAUUCGUGGGACAGAUGGAAUAGAUAAUAGUAUAUAUUGUAUGAGUUGGAGUUUGGGUCUCAUAUAAAUGUGUGGAGGGAAAUAAAGUGUUAUAAGGACCAUACAGCAAUAAAUAAAAAUGGAAAUGAUAUUGUGGACAGAUUAAAAUGAUAAAAAUGGAAACGAUAUCUGGACGUAGGAAGUAUGUUAGUAGAUUUUUAUAAUAUCAUCCAUAUUUUAAAAAAAUAUAUAAACUUUUCUAUUAUUAUGUAGAAAUUUAGUACUCAAUUACUUGGAUGAGAAUAUCGAAAAUGUACGUGUGCACAAUUUUUUACAAUUUUAAGAAAGAUUUACGCCUAAAAAAAAUUAAGAAAGAUUUAUAAUAAUAAAUUACUUGGAUGAUAGUUUGACAAAGUAUGCGUACAUGAAUCGUAAUUUAUAAUUUUAAAAACAAUUUAAUAUUUAUUGAGUUAGUGUUUUUAAAAAUAAAUUUAAUAUAUACUCCCUCCUAUUCUAAUUAUAUGUCGUUUUGGUGAUUUACAUUAAUUUUAUAAUAUAAGUCGUUUUGUUAUAAUAUACCACAAUUAACCUCGCUUAUUAAGUAGAUAUUAAUUGGAUAUAGAAAGAUACAAGUCAAUAAUAAGUGCAUCCAUUUUAAAUUCCACCGUUUGUUUUCUCGUGAGAUGUAUUUAACCUUAAUUAGCUGUUAUUAAUUAGGGUUAAAUUAGGUAAUUUUUUUAUUUAUUAAUAUGUGUGUCAAAGCUUAGAAAGACUUAUAUUUUGAAUAGGAGAGAGUAUAAUAUAAUAUAAUAUAUGCAUUAUAUGUUUGAAUUAAUUAAAUUACUCCUAAUUAAUAUCUCAAUUAUUAGUCCUCCGUCCACGAAAAAAAUGAAAAAGUGCUAUACUUAAGAGAUAUUCCCUCCGUCCCACUAUUGUUGUUUCUGAUGAGUAAACUCUCAACACAUCAAAGAAAAGAUAUGAAGAAGAAGAAGAAUGGAGCUAAGACCUGAGUAUCACAAAGCAGAAAAGCCAGAAUUGAACUUGUAUUGAUUUUUCAGAUAAAGAUAAUGUGUUACAAAUGACGAUGAUUCCUCUAUAUAUAAGGAUAAAUUACAAGGAGGGUAUAAAAGUAAAAUCUAUCUUCACACACUCCGCAUGUAUUCCUGGCUUCCGCACUCUAAUCGGCCUUCACAUUUCUCCUCCAACUGAUUCUACAAGCCCCAAAGCAUAACAUCAACUUGUUCCUGGUCCUCUAGUGGUCUUGGCUGAGAAGCGAGUCAACGACCUCGUAUCAUGUGGAAGAACAAUAUAAAUCUUGAUAGAAUAUAUAUAAGAUUUGGAAUGUGACCGCAGCAUUAUGAGACCGAGACCGAGUAGGUCCUCUCAAUUUUCGGACUUAAGUGCCACUAUGGCAUUUGGUAAAACCGUCCUCUCUUCUGAUUCAGGAUUCUCUCGGGGUGCCACCAUGGCACCUAGACCAUUCUCCUAUUUCAUUUAGCGGACGUUCUCAAGGUUUUUAAAUAAGAGUGCCAUCGUGGCACUAGAUCAAUGUUACCACCGUGGUCCAGGUCUUGUAAGUUUGUUACUUUCCUUAAAGUUAUGGUAUCUUGCCACCGUGGCAAGUCUCAUGACCUGUUUUUGCUCCUCAAGUUCAAUAAGAUAUCCUUUUAUCUUUUUCCACUUCUUUUCUGUAAUGAGGCCAAGAGCGCCUAAACCUGAUAUUUCUUCUCUGGCACCAUAAAACCCAUAUGAGGUUAGAUUAGAUAUUAAGGAUUUGGAGAGGACGGGCUGAUGCAGGAUUCACUCCUCAUCAGUUUCCAAAACUUUUAGGCACGACAAUUAAGAAGAAAAUGGAAAUUGGGGAAAAGUGAUAGGAUUCGCGCCUUUUAAAUGAUUAAUUAUUACUUCCUCUAUCCCGAGAAGCUUGAGCAGUAUUCCUUCUCGAGUUGUCUCGUGAAGCUUGAGCACUUUUCUUAUAUGAUAAUUUUUUUUAUAAUUCAUUUUUUCACUUUUUCACCUACCACACUUAACACACAAAAUACUAAUUCCUUAAAAUUCGUGUCGAAAAGAAAUUGCUCAAACUUGGCGGGACGGGAGAAGUAUCUUUUAUGAAAAUGAGACAACGCAAAAUGAUAAGUGAGACAAUAAUAAUGAGACAAAGAGAGUAAUUAAUCAAAAUAUAUUUGCCCGGCGGCUAUAUUUUGCCUAUUAUAAUAUAUAUAAAAUGUUAGUUAGAGCACCCACAAUGGGGGCUCAAUAGACGGUGCGAGCCCCCAUUUAUUGCACCCCUCCCCAAUGCCGCGCGUGUCUUCACGCCUGUAAAAAAAAAAUUUGCAAAAUUAAAAAUUUGAGAGCCGUUGGGGGACAGCCGUUGCUCAACGGCUGUCUCCCCUUUAUUUUAUUUUUAAUUCAAUAUUCAUCUAUAUAUACCCCAACCCCAAUUCAUUCUUCAUUCAUAUAUCCUACUCAAUUCACUCUUUUCCUUCCCCUUUUUCUUCAAAAAAAUGUCAUCAUCCACUAAUUCUUCAAAUCAAUAUUCCUCAAAUUCUUCAUCAGACGAAGAAAUUCAUGUCGAUCCUGCACAACUUCCUCCUCUUCCCGACCCUACAUCCCGAUUUAUUUUUUAUGAGAUGUGCUGUGAAUUUCAUGCAAGUGGCGAGUUCUUAUCGUUUCGAGCCUCCUCCGCUACCGAAGAAGAAGCGGAGAGUUGUUGUCCGUGAUCGUGAAGGUGGAGCCGAGCGCCUCCAUCGUGAUUAUUUUGCUCGUAGAUUUAAUUAUUUCGAAAAUAAUGUACUCCCUUCGUCUCACAAAAACAUGAACGUUUUUUCAUUUUGGGGUGUCUCACAAAAACAUGAACAUUUCCAUUUUAGUACAUCAUGGCCCACAACUACUUUUCCUUAAUUAAUUCAUUACUCUCACAACACCUUUUAAAGUGUGACCCAUUUUCCACUUAGUUUAACUCUCAACUAACAUUUCUUAAAACCCAUGCAUUUCUCUUUGUUCAUGUUUUUGUGAGACGGAGGGAGUAAUAUUUUAAUAUUUUUCAUUUUUUUAAAUUUGUAAUGUUUAGGUUUUUAAUAUUAAUGAAAUUUAAGUUAUUAAAUUUAAAAGUUGUCGAUUUUUUAAUUAAAAACAAGAAUAAAAGUAAAUAGAAAAUAAAAAUUAAAUUUAGAGAGUCAAUGGUGGGCUCUCCCAUUGUGGAGAGUGGGUGCAAUAGAAGUGGGGACCACAAUUGUGCACCCACCUUGGCUCACCAUUGUGGAUGCUCUUAGUCACCCGCCAUGAACAUUGGCGCCAUACACAUAAUUGAAUUUAAAAAAAAUAAAAACCUCUCAAAAUCUGGGGAAUUAAAAUAAUCCUCACUUGUGCAUUUCAACGAACAAGUACCAAUCAUCAGUCGAUGAUAAAAAUCACCCUGAUUUCUAACUAACUGUUUAACUUUGGAUUGAAAAUGAGCUGGAUUUGGGCGGCGGCGGCGGCAGCAGCAGCAGCAGCGAUCCCAUUAUUCCUCAACCUCCUUCAUCUAUGGCGGAACCUCUCGAACAAGAAGAAGAAGCUCCCUCCCGGCCCGAAAGGCCUUCCAAUCAUCGGCCAUUUCAACCUACUAAGCAGCAAUCCUCACCAAGAUCUUCACCGUCUAGCCCGCAAGCACGGCCCGAUCAUGUACACGCGCUUCGGCUCCAUCCCGACCAUCAUCGUCACGUUCCCCGCCGCCGCCGAGCUCUUCUUGAAGACCCACGACCUCGUCUUCGCC